UGGGGAAUAUUGCACAAUGGGCGAAAGCCUGAUGCAGCGACGCCGCGUGAGGGAUGAAGGCCUUCGGGUUGUAAACCUCUUUCAGCAGGGAAGAAGCGCAAGUGACGGUACCUGCAGAAGAAGCGCCGGCUAACUACGUGCCAGCAGCCGCGGUAAUACGUAGGGCGCAAGCGUUGUCCGGAAUUAUUGGGCGUAAAGAGCUCGUAGGCGGUUUGUCGCGUCUGGGGUGAAAACUCGAGGCUCAACCGCGAGCUUGCAUCGGGUACGGGCAGACUAGAGUGCGGUAGGGGAGACUGGAAUUCCUGGUGUAGCGGUGGAAUGCGCAGAUAUCAGGAGGAACACCGAUGGCGAAGGCAGGUCUCUGGGCCGCAACUGACGCUGAGGAGCGAAAGCAUGGGGAGCGAACA
rnacentral:rRNA from 1 species